GCCUUGGGGGUUCAGUGUAAAAUUCUUGUCUUCCAUGCAAAAGACCUGGGUUUGAUUCCUGACCAAUGCA
rnacentral:tRNA from 1 species